rnacentral:rRNA from 1 species
UACGUAGGUGGCAAGCGUUGUCCGGAUUUACUGGGCGUAAAGAGCGCGCAGGCGGUCGUUCAAGUCGCGUGUGAAAGCCCCCGGCUCAACUGGGGAGGGUCACGCGAUACUGAUCGACUCGAAGGCAGGAGAGGGAAGUGGAAUUCCCGGUGUAGUGGUGAAAUGCGUAGAUAUCGUAAGGAAGACCAGUGCGAAGGCGGGUCUCUGGACAGUUCCUGACGCUGAGGCACGAAGGUCAGGGGGAGCAAAACGGG